rnacentral:rRNA from 1 species
AUGGAAGAGGAGAUAGAAACCCCUAGAGAUUUGAAGCCAUGUGGGCCUUUGGAGGAGUACCGCAUUCCAGAUUACGUCUUGAGACCAGAUGCCCAACAAGUACUUGUUGAUCAUGCUCCACAGUGUCCUGUAAUAGUGUUCAUCAAUUCUAAAUCUGGCGGUCAACUUGGAAGUAGUUUGAUCAAAACAUACCGUGAACUUCUGAGUGAAGCACAGGUUAUUGAUCUCUCAGAAGAGACUCCGGAUAAGGUUCUGCACCGUUUAUAUGUGAAUGUUGAAAGGCUCAAGAUUGAAGGUGACAUUCUUGCCGUUCAAAUUUGGAGGACUAUGAGAUUAAUUGUUGCAGGUGGCGAUGGUACAGCGAGUUGGUUGCUUGGGGUCGUCAGUGAUCUUAAGCUUUCCCACCCACCUCCAAUUGCCACCGUACCUCUGGGAACUGGAAACAACCUUCCAUUUUCUUUUGGAUGGGGAAAGAAGAAUCCUUCUACAGAUCAAGAGGCUGUAAAAAUAUUCCUUGGGCUUGUGAAGCAUGCAAAAGAGAUUAAAAUUGAUAGCUGGCAUCUAAUUUUGAGGAUGAAAGCUCCAAAAGAAGGUCCGUGUGAACCCAUUGCUCCCUUAGAGUUGCCUCAUUCACUUCAUGCGUUCCACCGUGUGUCAAGCGGUGACUCCCACGAUGUGGUAAGCAUGUAUUUAUGCAAGUAA